UUUGCAGCUGGAGCGCAGGGCUGCUGGAGACUAACUGUGAGCUACUAACACGGGUGGAAGAUAGCUUUUGCAAUACUCGGUUUGCAUGUGCUGAAAGUCAUCUGUCUUCUGAGUCAACACUCCCGACCUGGUAAACAACCUGCUCAGGGCUCUGGUGAACAAGCUGUAGAAACCUAAGGCAACAACAAAGACAAAUGCCCUGCCAGAGAACAGCUUGGAUAGGUUGCGACAGACAGGGAACCCCCCCAUUCCACUGGGGAGAGAUCAAGUCUCGGGUUCUCAUGACUCCCUUAGCCCUCUCACCUCCGCGGAGUACCCCAGAGCCCGACCUCAGCUCCAUCCCUCAGGACGCAGCCACGGUCCCCAGCUUGGCGGCCCCACAGGCUCUCACAGUCUGCCUCUACAUCAACAAGCAGGCCAAUGCGGGGCCCUAUCUGGAGAGGAAGAAGGUGCAGCAGCUCCCGGAGCAUUUUGGGCCCGAGCGGCCAUCGGCGGUGCUGCAGCAGGCCGUCCAAGCCUGCAUCGACUGCGCCCACCAGCAGAAGCUGGUCUUCUCCCUGGUCAAGCAGGGCUAUGGUGGUGAGAUGGUGUCAGUCUCGGCUUCCUUUGAUGGCAAACAGCACCUGCGGAGCCUGCCUGUGGUGAACAGCAUCGGCUAUGUCCUCCGCUUCCUCGCCAAGCUGUGCCGAAGCCUCCUGUGCGAUGACCUCUUCAGCCACCAGCCCUUCCCCAGGGGCUGCAGUGCCUCUGGGAAAGUCCAGGAGAAAGAGGAAGGGAGGAUGGAAUCAGCCAAGACAGUCACCACCGAAGAGUACCUGGUGAACCCUGUGGGCAUGAACCGCUACAGCGUGGACACCUCCGCCUCCACCUUUAACCACAGGGGCUCCUUGCACCCCUCCUCCUCGCUGUACUGCAAGAGGCAGAACUCUGGAGACAGCCACCUUGGGGGUGGUCCUGCUGCCACCGCUGGUGGUCCCCGCACUAGCCCCAUGUCUUCUGGUGGCCCCUCGGCACCUGGGCUGAGGCCUCCAGCCUCCAGCCCCAAGAGAAACACGACCUCUCUUGAAGGAAACAGAUGUGGUAAUGUAAUGCAUGCAUCAGCUUCCCAUUGA
rnacentral:sRNA from 1 species